rnacentral:pre_miRNA from 1 species
AAUAAGCGCAGACAUGAGUUUUCGUGUCGAACUUUAAUCGUUCGUCUUAUUUAAAUUUUUUUUAUUAGUAUUUUUAUUGUUAUUAGAUUAUAAAACAUGAAUAAUAAUUUAUGUGUGACUUAAUUUUUUAAUUUUUUUUAAAAAAUUAAAUAAGACGAAUGAUUAAAGUUGGACACGGAAACUCAUGGUUGCGCUUAUU